GACGAACGCUGGCGGCGUGCUUAACACAUGCAAGUCGAACGGUGAAGCGCCUUCCUUUUUGGUGGGUGUGGAUGAGUGGCGAACGGGUGAGUAACACGUGAGUAACCUGCCCCCUUCUUCUGGAUAACCGCAUGAAAGUGUGGCUAAUACGGGAUAUUCUGGGUCUGUCGCAUGAUGGGUCUGGGAAAGAUAUUGUUUCGGUGGGGGAUGGGCUCGCGGCCUAUCAGCUUGUUGGUGGGGUGAUGGCCUACCAAGGCGGUGACGGGUAGCCGGCCUGAGAGGGUGGACGGCCACAGUGGGACUGAGACACGGACCAGACUCCUACGGGAGGCAGCAGUGGGGAAUAUUGCACAAUGGGCGCAAGGCUGAUGCAGCGACGCCGCGUGAGGGAUGGAGGCCUUCGGGUUGUGAACCUCUUUCGCCAGUGAAGCAGGCCUGCCUCGUUUGUGGGUGGGUUGACGGUAGCUGGAUAAGAAGCGCCGGCUAACUACGUG
rnacentral:rRNA from 1 species